rnacentral:sRNA from 1 species
GUCUAUAAAUCCAAUCUACAGAAGAAGCCAAUGUCGAAGUUUGGCAUAACAGGCUCCCUUUUGACUAUGCUAAGUUCAUAGGGAACUGCGUUAUAUAAGAAUGUGUGUUUAUCCGUGAACGUAUAGCCUAAUCUGCAGCUCUAUGGUCAACGAGCAAAUAUUUCCCAGAGGAUAGAACAGCGUUGCUGAUUCAAAAUCUUGUAAUAACAUUGGAAAAGGCUGACUUGCAGUUUUUAUGUGCUGU